UUUUUUUUUAAUCCUUUUAAGUUGCAACCUGGGAGUAAAUCUUUGCUCAAGAAAAAAAAAAUUUUUUUAAGGUUUUAUCCAUUUAUUCAUGAGAGACAGAGAGAGGCAGAGGGAGAAGCAGGCUCCAUGCAGAGAGCCCUAUGCGGGACUCAAUCCAGGAACUCCAGGAUCACACGCUGAGCCUAAGGCAGAGGCCUAACCGCUGAGCCACCCAGGCUUCCCUGCUCAAGAAAAUUUUAAAAUAAGAGUCGUACUACCAAAACGCAGGGAACAUGGAUGGUUUUGAAAAACAAAAAGCAAACAAAACCUGCGCGUUAGUGCACGAGGCUCAUAGCUCCACAAGGCAAACUUGUGGCAGGCCUCAGUAAAUACUUUUUCAACGAGCAGCCCCUGAAUCUUGGAAGAAAGAUGCCAGCAGGCAGUCAGGGCGCGUUAUGUGGAGGAGAGGACUGGGUCUUUGCGUGAAGUGCUUUUUAAUAGCGGCUGGGGCCGUGGAUGCAGGCCUCCCCCGACGGCCACGGGAAGGCACAGGUCUUGAUGAGGAGGAGAUGGAGGACUCAGAACCAAGAAUUUCCAAGUGA
rnacentral:lncRNA from 1 species